UGGGAAUUUUCCGCAAUGGGCGAAAGCCUGACGGAGCAACGCCGCGUGAGGGAGGAAGGUCUUUGGAUUGUAAACCUCUUUUCUCAAGGAAGAAGUUCUGACGGUACUUGAGGAAUCAGCCUCGGCUAACUCCGUGCCAGCAGCCGCGGUAAUACGGGGGAGGCAAGCGUUAUCCGGAAUUAUUGGGCGUAAAGCGUCCGCAGGUGGUCAGCCAAGUCUGCCGUCAAAUCAGGUUGCUUAACGACCUAAAGGCGGUGGAAACUGGCAGACUAGAGAGCAGUAGGGGUAGCAGGAAUUCCCAGUGUAGCGGUGAAAUGCGUAGAGAUUGGGAAGAACAUCGGUGGCGAAAGCGUGCUACUGGGCUGUAUCUGACACUCAGGGACGAAAGCUAGGGGAGCGAAAGGGAUUAGAUACCCCUGUAGUCAAUCGAA
rnacentral:rRNA from 1 species